rnacentral:rRNA from 1 species
GAUGAACGCUGGCGGCGUGCCUAAUACAUGCAAGUCGAGCGAACAGACGCGGAGCUUGCUCCACUGACGUUAGCGGCGGACGGGAGAGUAACAUGUGGAUCACCUACCUAUAAGACAGGGAUAACUUCGGGAAACCGGAGCUAAUACCGGAUAAUAUAUUGAACCGCAUGGUUCAAUAGUGAAAGACGGUUUUGCUGUAACUUAUAGAUGGCUCCGCGCCGCAUUAGCUAGUUGGUAAGGUAACGGCUUACCAAGGCGACGCUGCGUAGCCGACCGGAGAGGGGGAGCGGCCACGCGGGAACGGAGGCACGGACCAGGCCCGUAAGGGAGGCAGGAGUAGGGAAUCUUGCGGAAUGGGCGAAAGCUUGACGAAGCAACGCCGCGUGAGUGAGGAAGGCCUCCGGAUCGAAAAACUCUGUUAUUAGGGAAGAAGAAAUGUGUAAGUAACAAUGCUCGUGUGGAGGUAACCGAAGCAGAAGGCCACGGUAAACUCCGU